ACGGGUGAGUAACGCGUGGGAACAUACCUCUUGGUUCGGAACAACACAGGGGAACUUGUGCUAAUACCGGAUAAGCCCUUACGGGGAAAGAUUUAUCGCCGAGAGAUUGGCCCGCGUCUGAUUAGCUAGUUGGUAGGGUAAUGGCCUACCAAGGCGACGAACAGUAGCUGGUCUGAGAGGAUGAUCAGCCACAUUGGGACUGAGACACGGCCCAAACUCCUACGGGAGGCAGCAGUGGGGAAUAUUGGACAAUGGGCGCAAGCCUGAUCCAGCCAUGCCGCGUGAGUGAUGAAGGCCCUAGGGUUGUAAAGCUCUUUUGUACGGGAAGAUAAUGACGGUACCGUAAGAAUAAGCCCCGGCUAACUUCGUGCCAGCAGCCGCGGUAAUACGAAGGGGGCUAGCGUUGCUCGGAAUCACUGGGCGUAAAGGGUGCGUAGGCGGGUUUUUAAGUCAGAGGUGAAAUCCUGGAGCUCAACUCCAGAACUGCCUUUGAUACUGAAAGUCUUGAGUAUGGGAGAGGUGAGUGGAACUGCGAGUGUAGAGGUGAAAUUCGUAGA
rnacentral:rRNA from 1 species